AACUCCUGGCCUCAUGUGAUCCUCUCGCCUUGGCCUCCCCAAAGUGUUGGGACUACAGGUGUGAACCACUGUGCCCUGUCUUAUUGAGGGAGUUUAAAGCCUGGUGCUUGAAUGCUGUCAAUAACUGAGUUUAGAGAUAUGCAAAGUCACUGAAAAGAAGCAAGUUGGAUCCCAGGUCUGGAGUAUGGCUUUAACCUGUCUAAAAAGAAUGUGUCUAUUUACAAGGGUCUUGGGCAGCCUGGAAGCCCAGGAAAAAGGUAAUCCCAGAGGUCAACCAUUCCAGCCGUUGAGCAAUUGCAAUUGAUCACACAUACACUCAUGGAGUUCCAGUGGGACCCCGAUGAGAAGGGCAUUGUGGUAAACUUGAGCUUCAUAAUGCUGCAGCUGCAGCAAUUUGGGGAACACUGAGAUCUCUCCAUGGCUCUUCCGAGCCUCUCAAAAACAUUUAACACAAUCAUCAGGAUUAGGGACCUGACAGCCAAGAGGUAAGUUUGGCAGCCCUGAGGCAUUUGCUUUUAACAAGCUCCCAUGAUGAUGUCAACUCCCCAAUUUAUAUCUCUAGCCCUCUUGCUUGAACUUCAGACUAUUGACAACUGUUUACAGAACAUCUGCUCUUGAGUGUUGAAGUGACAUCUCAAAUUCAAGAUGACCAAAACUUAACUCCUUCCUCUGCCCUGAAACCUGUUCUAUCUGCAGUCAUCUCCAUUCAGUUCAUGUUUAUGAUACAGCUAAAAUUGCUCAUCAGCAUCUAAUGAAGCAACGAAGCAACUUUGUCAAUCAGACAUUGUUGUUUUACUUUCUUUUUCUUCCAUAAACUUACUCUAUGGUAGUUCUUUUGUUAGUAUGGACUUUGAACUCUUCCUGGGCAUCUCCAGACCUGGUCUCUCAUCAAAAGGCUGAUCUCAUCUAAUUAGGGCCUGAGGACUGCAAGGGAGGGAAGAUCAAGGGGAAUCCUAGAAACCUGGAUUCCGUUCAGGCAGGAAAGCAGAUUGAUGAUCAAUGGCCUGGGUCCAUGCCACUUACUGCUUGUGAGACUAGGAAAGUUAUUUACUUUCCAGACGAUUCAUAGAUCAACCUAGGGGAGGGGGUGUUGAUUAAAUGAGAAUAUGUAUAGUCACUGAUGCAUAGUAAAAGCUCAGUUAACUACUGGUAGUAAUGCUUUAUCUUAGGAUAUUCUGAGCUAGAAAUAAAGUAAAAAAUGAAAUUGAUUUGGGAGCCUAAAGAAAUUAUCCUGAAAUGCAUAAAGAGAAACAUGUAAAAUACUCAUUGAAAAGCUGAAAUGGAAAAUGGUCAUUUUCCCAUAGAUAUUGGUGGUUCACUUCAUAAAUCUUUCUGAAUUAAUCCUUUAAUUCAGUAUGUAUUUAUUGAGCAUUUACUAUAUGUUAGGCUGUUAGGCACUGCUCUAAAUGCUGAAGAAAAAUCCGUGAGCAAAACAGGUGAAAAUCCCUACAUUUCUGAAGCUAACCUUCUAUUGGGGGUCAUAUAUUGAACAAAAUAAAUAAUACUACGGGUUGGAGGAAAGGAGAUGAUUCAUUUGGAGUUUUUAAGUAGAGUGAUCUGGGACCUAACGUCAUCUUCUGAGCUGGGGGAAGAUACAAAAAAAUCUUAAAAUAUAGUCCCAGCCCUCCAGAAAUGCACAUUUUGGUUAAGGAAAUAAGACAGGAUUCACAUGCCAAUUUUGGUGAUAGAACAAACAAGGCAUUAUUAUGUACAUGGAGACAAGCAAUGUUCUAAAAGGUCAGAGAAGCUGGGGAGCAGGAAGGGAUGCAGCCCAAGGACUUGUUGGCAUGAGUGGUCUGGAAAAGUCUCCUGAAGGGAGUGGAACUUAGCCGCGAAAUAGUGAAGCAAGUUUUCUUCCAUCCUUCCUCCCCUCCCGUUAGCUGCUGGGAAGCAGCUUGUGUUGCAAUGGGCCAAAAUGAAACACUAAUCUUGGCCUUUUCCAGGAAGAGGCUGUCAUGGGGAGAUACCGUAACGGGCAUAGAAAAACAAUCACAAUAGCUUCAGUGGAUCCCCACGUGACCUGGCCAAAUUGGCUGGAGAGGGAACAAGUCUUUCAGGUCAAGCUCAGGCUUUGAACUCAGUAGGAACCAACCCCUGCAGAUUCAGUAACACCUUCUACUUCCAAAUCUUUAUAGCAUGAAAAUCCAAGGGGGCCACAGAUUGCUCUGAGUUAACCACCAGGAGCUGCCAAUAGGAGGGUCCUCCUGCAUCUCUUUCUUAAGGCUUUGGGUUUGUACCUGUACUCUAGAGAUGUGGCCAAGCCCCACUUGUGGUCUGUGUUAGAGGAGCCCCAAAGAACACAGACACGAACCUUGGGGGUGGUAGCCAGGUGUAAAGUAGGGCUUGAGAAGAGUGAGUUCCUAGUACCCAUUUUAGAUUAGACUGCACAGGGGAGAAGACAGGCAGGAUGUGUGAAUCAGGAAAUAGAUUGGUUCUUUGGGCCUAAAUGAGUGUCAAAUCUCCAAAGAGUCAAGUACAUUAAAUUCAUCCCAGCUUGGUGAGGUAGGUGCUAAGUUUUUCUAACAAAGUAGAUGUUUGAAUAAUUGGGGCCUUAGAUGAGUCACUAUAGUGGACUGGGUAUGGAGAGGGGCAGCAUUAUUGAUCUCCUUUUCCUCAUUCUCCAUGUAGAAUUGCUACUAGAGUCUUACCUCUAUUUUCUCAUGGCUAUUUGGCCUUCAACUUGAAAUAGUAUCUAGUAUGAUGCAUGGGUUGGAUAAAGAUGUCAGCCCUUGUAAAAUAUUGCAGUUACUUUGAAAAAAGGCUGGAGUUCUCAACUGGGAUCCCUUCUUACCAGCUACGUGGCCUUGAGCAAGUUGAUGCACGUCUCUCAGGCUGUUUUCUUGUCUGUACAAUUGGCUAGUGUAAACUUCAUGAGGUUAUUGUAAGGAUCAAAUUAGAUAAUGCAUGUAGAGUAUAGCACCAAUAAUUGUUUAUUGUUAUUACUUUUAUUAUCUAACCAAUUGGAGAUGAGGAAAAGUAAUUAUUAGGGGACAAAUAUUGUAUAACGAGCCGACACAAGAGUGAGUGGAAACUGUAACUUGCCUACCAAUGCGGGCUGGAUUCACACUUAGCCAGACGUCUCCAAUAAUGCUCCCAGCCCUAGCAGAACCCCAGUUGCCCUCCGAAUGGUCACUGGAUUUGUCCCUUCCUAUCUUCUCUCCUUCUCCAAACCCGGCCCCAUAAUCCUGACCUUCAUUUCUGCUAGCCCUGGAAUCCUAUGAUUUGCCCUGCUCUUCUUCAGCUCCUCCCAACACUGCAGAUGUCUUUGUUCUCCUAUGCGUUUGGUCCUCCUCCUGCCCCUCAAUCCAAGGGUCCAUCAGUUUCAUGCAAAUUAGGAUCAUAUUCUCUUCAUGACCACUCAUCCUAGAAGGGAAAGCUUGCAAAUGUGCAGAUGGGUUUGGUGUGAGGGUCAGGAUGGACAGAGAAGUGCAUUUAUUCAGUCCAACAUUUUCUAAAUACAAAUUACAUUUUUUAAAAAAGGAAAUUAAAAUAACAAUUAAAUACCAUUUCCCCAUGGCAAAGGCAAGCAAAGAAUGACCGUAUACCCUGAGUAGGUGAGGAAUAUAAUUUGGUAACAUCUUUCUGGAGAGCAAUUAGGCAAUGUAUUUCAAAAGUGUUAACAUUUUCACAUUUUCUUUAUCCUAGCAAUUCCACUCUUAGGAAUUUAAUUGAGAAUAAGAACAAAGAUUUACAAGCUUGUCAUCACAGUAAUUGCCUGGAAAUAGUGAAAAAAUUGCAAAAGAUCUAAGUAUUCAAAAAUAAGGAAUUGGUUGAGUAAGUAGAGACAUCCCUGUAUAGGUUUACUCUGUAGCCAUAAUGGAUAAUAUUGAGAAAUCUAUUUAUGGUCAAUGAAAGAUGUUUGUCAUAUAUUAUCAUAUAAAAAGCAGAUUAUAAAGCACUAUGUACAGUAUUUUACAAUGAGUAUUUAAAAACUUUUUAUAGAAACAGGGUCUUGCUCUAUCACUCAGGCUAGAGUGCAGUGGCACAAUCAUAGCUCACUGACGCCUCUGACUCAUGGGAUCUGGUGAUCCUCCUGCCUCAGCCUCCUGAGUAGCUAGGACUACAGAUGUGUGCCACCAUGCCUAGCUAAUUUUUAAUUUUUUUUGUAGAGAUGGGAUCUUGCUAUUAUUGUCCAGGCUGGUCUUGAACUGCUGGUCUCAGGCAAUCCUCCUGCCUCAGCCUCUCAAAAGCACUGGGAUUAUAGGUGUGAGCCACUGGGCCUGGCCAUAUUUGCACAUUUUUAAAGUUUCAAAAGAUAUGUAUCAAUUUAUACACUAGUAUCUUGGUGUUUGGAGGUUACAAGUUAUUCUCUAUUUUCUUUUCUUUUUUUUUGUAUAUUUUCUGAUUCCUUUAUGGUUAAUGUGAAUUAGUCAUGUAAUUACAAGCCAUUUUAAUUUGCAUUAAAUUACUAGUAACACAUUUUAGGCUUUGGGAAUUCAAAAAAUGAAUAAGAGAAGGAGAAACAACAUUUAUUGAAUUUUUUUUAACAUUUUAGGCAAUGAGCUGAAUCCUUUGUAUAAUUUAAUUCAUUUAAUUUUUACCAUAAUUGCAUGGGAUAUUAUGUUUCCAGUUUACAGAUAAGGGAACUGAGGCUCAUAGAAGAUUAGAAACUAGCCUAAGAUUGUACAUUCAGUGGGAUUUGAAACCAGAUCUGACGCCAAAGAACUUAUCGAUAUUCAUACAGGUUUAAAAUUUUUCCAUGACACCACAGGAGCUUGCAGUAUUAGAGGGGCUCAGAACCCACAAACCCAAAGACUUCAGGUCCAGGCAGACCCAGAUCAGUGGCUCAUGAGUGAGACAAACAUAGGGUCAUGGAGAUGCAUAGAGGGGAGAUCUGGCUGCAUAAUCAGGGAGUGAGAUCUGAUGUGAACUUGAUGUCAGAUUUCAGGAAUCAGCAAUUGAGGCUAGAGCUUUUCCCGAAGGCCAAAGAAUGUGGGUGCAGUGGCAAGGAGGAAGAGUAGGGACAGAUGGGUUGUCUGGAGUAGACGUGGGGAAGUUUCUGACACAGGCAGUACUGGACAAGGUUGUCUGCACGAGGUUUGUUGAUUCAUAUUUCACGGUUAAUCUCUUUGCAUUUAUUUAUUUUAUAGCAUUACCACUUUUGUGUCAUUGAUUUUCACUUCUGAGUUUGCCUAUUUGUUUGAAAUCUCUUCAUCUCAUUUCUAUUAGUUUUUAUACUCCAUUGAGCACUUCUCAGUGAGUGAGCAUUUUCACUUCACACUCAUCAAAGAGCCAAAUGAGGAGAGGAGACACCCUAACUGCAGGGAUUAGGUAGUAGGCUUCAGAGGCAGUGACCAAGCAGGAUCCCUGGUAGGCCACUCCCUCUCCUCUGCUACCUGGAAGCAGAACAAGGCUGGAUCUCACCCUUCUGCUACCUGCAUUUAACUAACUAGGAAGUCAUAUGGGUUAUAUUUUAAAAUAUAUUUUAAAAAUAUGUAUCUGACAAAUGCAUUUCAUGAUCCUAGAUUGGAUUCUGGGUUGGAAAAAAUUACUAUAAAGUACAUUGGCAAAAUUUGAAUGUAGGCUAUAUAUUGUAUAAUAGUUUGUUAUCAAUGCUAAAUUUUCCAAAUUUGUUAAUUAUACUGUAGUUAUAUAAAAAGAUCCUUGUUCUUAAAAGACAGAUGCUGAAGUAUUUGGGGUUAAGGAGCAUGAUGUCAGCAACCUAUUCUUAAAUGGCUAGGCAAAACCAAUAAUAAUGUGUGCAUGUGUGCAGAUUAUCUAUUUAUCUAUCUAUCCAUCUAUCCAACUAUCUAGAGAGAAAUAAAACAAAUGAGGCAAAAUAUUAACGACUGGUAAAUCUAGGUUAAAGGUAUGUAAAUGUUCAUUGUAUUCUUGCAGCUUUUAUGAAAGUUUUUUUUUUUUUUAAAAAGGUUAACAAUUUCUCUUGAAGACUUCUGCUUCUGGCCAAAGUGGAGUAAUAGGUUCAGAUUUGCCCUCUUGCCUGAAACAAUAACAACAACAACAACAAACACAAUAAAGAUAUAUGAAGGAAUGGUUUUCAAGACAUGGACAUCAGGUGACAAAUGACAGUGAUUCCUGGGAGUUGAGGAGAGUUUUACAAUUGCUCCAGCUUACAGCCCUGAAGAAGUUCCUAGGGCACAGUUCAGGAAGGUGGAACCCAGAUGGAGCCUGGAAAAUGCUCUGAGUUGAGGAAACAGAGAUAAGAGUAUGGGGAGACCAAAGCAACUAGAGUUUGCAGGAUAGAUGAUGGAGAGGAGAGAGGUGCACAGAGAGAGCCCAGGAGAUCCUCAGGGGUCUCCUCAAGAUCGGUUCAACUAAGUACCAAUCAGCACAUGUGUGUGAGGAAACCAUCUGCGAGGAUUAGAAGCAGCGCUGCUCAGUGCUCACUCAGGGCUGAGAACAGUGCCAGUUCCCACCUGCCAGAUUGGAAAGUCCCAUGAUUCCUGGGGCACUCAGUAGUUUGUACAGAAGGUCCUUGCCUCAGAAGUGGGCAAUAAAUAACCCUAGACUGAGCACUUCUCAGCACCCUUGAAAAAAAAAAUCAUAAAAUCAAAACCUGAGGAUCCAACUGUUUCCAAGUAGUUUAACUUAUCCCAGAGCAAAGUUCAAAAAUAUAUAUAGGAAUCCAAAAAUAUUUAACACCCAGCAAAGUACAUUUACAAUGUCUAGUAUCUAAGCAAAAAUUACCAGGUAUGAGAAGAAGUAGAAAAAUAUGACCCAUAUUAAAAAGGAGCCUAGGCUUUUCCCCUCACUCAGCUGUGAUGAGGCACCCCAACCCUUCCUUGCUGGGGUGAUGUGCCCUGUAAUGACCUUCUCCUCAGUGAUUAUGUCAGUGAAGGCCAUGUGGGGACCUGGAACUCUCACCCUCACCAGCUGUAAUGAGACACUCUACCCCAGUGGAGUGUCCACAGAGGCCAAGUGAGGACUGUGGACUUACACAACCACCUGGCAAUUAUGAAGCAGCAGUCCCCUUUCCUGACUGGCACAGUGUCAGACAGGGCCUGCUAAAACAGAAAAUUUAAAUAAGAUAUAAUGUCUUAUAUAAUUCCCCCAAAGCCCAGGAAUUAAUAGAAAAUCACUCAUCAUGUCAAGAACCAGGAAAAUCUCAACUUGAAUGAGAAAAGACAACAAAUGCCAAUGUUGAGAUGACACAGAUGUUGACAAAAAUUUUAAAGAAACCAUUAUAAAAAUGCUUCAAUGAGUAGUUAUAAACAUGCUUAAAACAAAUUUAAAAAUAGAAUGUCUCAGCAGGAAAACACAAGACAUAAAGAGGAGCCAAAUAGGCUGGGUGCGGUGGUUCACCCCAUUAAUACCAGCACUUUGGGGUGCUGAGGUAAGAGGAUCGCUUGAGCCCAGGAGUUUGAGACCAGCCUGGGAAACAUGACAAAUUCCUGUCUCUACAAAAAACACAAAAAGAGCUGGUGUGGUGGUGCGUGCCUAUAGUCCCAGCUAACUCAGGAGGAUGAGGUGGGAGGUUGGCUUGAGUCCAGAUGGCAGAGGUUGCGGUGAGCUGUGAUUGCAUAAUUCAAGAAGCUAAUGAACCUCAAACAGAAUAAACUGAAAAGAAAUCCAUGACAAAGCACAUCAUAAUCAAACUUCUGUAAAACUAAGACAAGACAGAAUGAGAGAAAUGACACCUUGCACAGAGAGGGAAAAUAAUUUGAAUGACAGAAAUUUUUCAUCAGAAACUGUGGAGGCCAGAGGGAGGCAUCACACAUUUUUCAAGUCCUGAAUGAAAAGAACUGUCAGCCCAGAAUCCUAAUUCAGUGAAAAUGUCAUUCAGGAAUAAAAGGGAGAUUGCCUAGCUAUAUUAAAACAUUAUAAUUUAGCCUAAUGUAAUUUUCUAGGCAGUUUCAGUCAGUUUUUUGCUACUCUCUGAUGUUCAAGAUAGAAAAAGUUAUUUUACAAGCAAGCUGAAUACAAAAUAAUGGAAAUAGUUUGUAAAACCAGUAUAUAUUAUAUGCCUAUAUUGCACAUGUUAAAGCACUCCAUUAUAAUACAGUAUGUAAUCUACUGUUUUUGAACGGUUUUGUUCAGCAUUUGGCUAUUUAAAAAAUAUUUAUAAAGAGAUUUAUUUCUUUCAGUUCUGGAGGCAGGAAAGUCCAAGGUUGAGGGGUUCACAUCUGGUGAGGGCCUUCUUGCUGUGUCAUCCCAUGGCAGAAGGUGGAAAGGACAACUAUUUGAACAACUAUUCAACCAAAGACAAUAUAUGGAUUGGAGACAAGAGGAUGCUCAACAUCAUUCAUUAGGGAAAUACAAACUAAAACCACAAUGAAAUAUUACUGGUUACCUAUUAGAAUGAUUAAAAUUAAAAAUACUGACCAUAUCGGCCAGGCAUGGUGGCUCACGCCUGUAAUCCCAGCACUCUGGGAGGCUGAGGCAGGCAGAUCACCAGGUCAGGAGAUCGAGACUAUCCUGGCUAACACGGUGAAACCCCGUC
rnacentral:lncRNA from 1 species